AGUAGGAAUAUGGCGGAUGGCGAGGAGCUGGAGAAGAAAAGUAGGAGAAUAGAGGAGCUGCUGGCUGAGAAAAUGGCUGUUGAUGGUGGGUGUGGGGACACUGGAGACUGGGAAGGUCGCUGGAACCAUGUAAAGAAGUUCCUUGAGUGGCCUGGACCCUUCAUACACCCUGAUUUCGAACCGAGCACUGAAUCACUCCAGUUCUUGUUAGAUACAUGUAAAGUUCUAGUCAUUGGAGCUGGUGGCUUAGGAUGUGAGCUUCUGAAAAAUCUGGCAUUGUCUGGUUUUAGACAGAUUCAUGUUAUAGACAUGGACACUAUAGAUGUUUCCAAUUUAAAUAGUCAGUUUUUAUUUAGGCCUAAAGAUGUUGGAAGACCCAAGGCUGAAGUUGCUGCAGAAUUCCUGAAUGACAGAGUUCCUAACUGCAACGUGGUCCCACAUUUCAACAAGAUUCAAGACUUUAACGACACUUUCUACCUACAAUUUCAUAUUAUCGUAUGUGGCCUGAACUCUAUCAUAGCCAGGAGAUGGAUCAAUGGAAUGCUGAUAUCUCUUCUAAAUUAUGAAGAUGGUGUGUUGGAUCCAAGCUCCAUUGUACCUUUGAUAGAUGGGGGGACAGAAAGCUUUAAAGGGAAUGCCCGAAUGAUUUUUGCCUGGAAUGACCACUUGUAUUGAGUGCACUCUGGAACUUUACCCACCACAGGUCAAUUUCCCCAUGUGUACCACUGCAUCUAUGUCCAGGCUCCCAGAGCACUGUAUCGAGUAUGUAAGGACGUUGCAAUGGCCUAAAGAGCAGCCUUUUGGAGAUGGGGUUUCAUUAGAUGGAGAUGACCCUGAACAUAGUCAGUGGAUUUUCCAAAAGUCUGUAGAGAGAGCAUCACAAUAUAAUAUUAGAGGUGUUACCUACAGACUCUCUCAAGGGGUAGUAAAACGAAUCAUUCCUGCAGUAGCUUCUACAAAUGCAGUCAUUGCAGCUGUGUGUGCCACUGAGGUUUUCAAGAUAGCUACAAGUGCGUACAUCCCCCUUAAUAACUACUUAGUAUUCAAUGAUGUAGAUGGACUGUACAUUUACACAUUUGAGCAGAGAGAAAGGAGAACUGUCCUGUGUGUAGCCAGCUUCCUCAAAACAUCCAGUUCUCCCCAACAGCUAAACUGCAAGAGGUCUUAGACUAUCUAACCAACAGUGCUUCUCUGCAAAUGAAGUCUCCAGCUAUAACAGCCACAUUAGAGGGAGAAAACAGGACACUUUACAGUCAGUAAUGUCUAUUGAAGAACGAACGAGACCGAAUCUGUCCAAAACAUUAAAAGAGCUGGGACUAGUUGAUGGACAAGAACUGGCUGUUGCUGAUGUCACCACACCACAAACUGUACUAUUUAAACUUCAUUUUACUUAAGGAAAAUAAAUCUGUGCAUAACAGAAAUUCAUAGAAAUAAUAUACUUUAUAAACAUUAUGCAGUUGAAGAGCCGGGAAGAUGAAGCAGAGAAAGGAAUUUCCAAGAAAGGAAUUUAAUCGAUGUCAUUUUUAGCAUUAGUGUGGCUAGAAUUUGACUUUUAUAUAUACAUAUAUAUAAAAAAUGAAUGACUCUUUUUUAACUUUAUAAGUUUCUCUUGAAGACUGAACUUCCGGGUUGGGCUAGUAAGCAUUUUCACUUUAGUAAUAUGGAAACCAUGCCUCCAGGAAAGAUUAUGAACAGAUGUCCUGCUUCUUUAAAGCAGGACAAACACUGUCUUUUGUGUGAGUUUGUUAUGGUCAAACAACAUAUUCCUCAGCUUGCAUUUGAGCAUCCACCUGUAUAGAAAUUUAUUCUUGAAUGGAAAUGAGGAAUUAUGUCUUAAGAACAUUAAAUAUUUAUAACCUGACAUCUAGAGAUAUCAAACAUAGGCAAUUUCUUCAUUACUACUCAUAUAAUUGUGACUGUCCAUGUGUGUAUUAAUUAUUGCAGAGUUUAACUUGUCCAUGAUAAUUUGUAAACAGUAUUAUAGAGUCAUACCUGUGCAUGAAAAUACAAAACAUUUUCAUGUAUUUAUUUGCAAUGCCACAGACACCAGUAUGCACAAAUUUAAACCAAGACAUGGCUGUUCAAAGAAAUUAAUGUUUCAACAGUUGUCACUGAUGCCUUUGCACUAUUUAUUAAUAAAAUUGUACAUUGUCUACUUUUUAUUG
rnacentral:lncRNA from 1 species